AUCCGAGUGCAUGGGCUUUACACGAAUCAAUGAGGAGCAUCCGAGAUCGUGUUUGCUAGAAUUGACCACUUCAAGUGAGCUUAAUCGCUUGGGAAUUUUUGAAGUUACCCUUAAC
rnacentral:snRNA from 1 species